rnacentral:rRNA from 1 species
AACGAACGCUGGCGGCGCGCCUAAUACAUGCAAGUCGAGCGAGAAGACGUAGCAAUACGUUUGUAAAGCGGCGAACGGGUGAGGAAUACAUGGGUAACCUACCCUCGAGUGGGGAAUAACUAGCCGAAAGGUUAGCUAAUACCGCGUACGCUCCUUGGACUUCGGUUCAGGGAGGAAAGCGAUACCGUGGGUAUCGCGCUCUUGGAUGGGCUCAUGUCCUAUCAGCUUGUUGGUGGGGUAACGGCUCACCAAGGCUUCGACGGGUAGCUGGUCUGAGAGGACGAUCAGCCACACUGGCACUGCGACACGGGCCAGACUCCUACGGGAGCAGCAGUAAGGAAUAUUGCGCAAUGGGCGAAAGCCUGACGCAGCGACGCCGCGUGGGGGAUGAAGGUCUUCGGAUU